rnacentral:rRNA from 1 species
GAUGAACGCUGGCGGCGUGCCUAAUACAUGCAAGUCGAGCGAACAGACGAGGAGCUUGCUCCUCUGACGUUAGCGGCGGACGGGUGAGUAACACGUGGAUAACCUACCUAUAAGACUGGGAUAACUUCGGGAAACCGGAGCUAAUACCGGAUAAUAUAUUGAACCGCAUGGUUCAAUAGUGAAAGACGGUUUUGCUUUCACUUAUAGAUGGAUCCGCGCCGCAUUAGCUAGUUGGUAAGGUAACGGCUUACCAAGGCAACGAUGAGUAGCCGACCUGAGAGGGUGAUCGGCCAACCGGGAACUGAGCCACGGUCCAGACUCCUACGGGAGGCAGCAGUAGGGAAUCUUCCGCAAAGGGCGAAAGCCUGACGGAGCAACGCCGCGGGAGUGAUGAAGGUCUUCGGAUCGUAAAACUCUGUUAUUAGGGAAGAACAAAUGUGUAAGUAACUAUGCACGUCUUGACGGUACCUAAUCAGAAAGCCACGGCUAACUACGUG